AGUGAACGCUGGCGGCAGGCCUAACACAUGCAAGUCGAACGGCAGCACAGUAAGAGCUUGCUCUUACGGGUGGCGAGUGGCGGACGGGUGAGGAAUAUAUCGGAAUCUACUUUUUCGUGGGGGAUAACGUAGGGAAACUUACGCUAAUACCGCAUACGACCUACGGGUGAAAGCAUGGGAUCUUCGGACCUUGCGCGAUUGAAUGAGCCGAUGUCGGAUUAGCUAGUUGGCGGGGUAAAGGCCCACCAAGGCGACGAUCCGUAGCUGGUCUGAGAGGAUGAUCAGCCACACUGGAACUGAGACACGGUCCAGACUCCUACGGGAGGCAGCAGUGGGGAAUAUUGGACAAUGGGCGCAAGCCUGAUCCAGCCAUACCGCGUGGGUGAAGAAGGCCUUCGGGUUGUAAAGCCCUUUUGUUGGGAAAGAAAAGCAGCAGGUUAAUACCCCGCUGUUCUGACGGUACCCAAAGAAUAAGCACCGGCUAACUUCGUG
rnacentral:rRNA from 1 species